GUGCUCACUUCAGUGGCGCAUAUACUAAAAUUGGAACAAUACAGAGAAGAUUAACAUGGCCCCGGUGCAAGGAUGACACACAAAUUUGUGAAGCAUUCCAUAUUUUU